rnacentral:rRNA from 1 species
UUCCGGUUGAUCCUGCCGGACCUGACUGCUAUCGGAUUGAUACUAAGCCAUGCGAGUCAUUGUAGCAAUACAAGGCAUACGGCUCAGUAACGCGUAGUCAAUCUAACCUAUGGACGGGGAUAACCUCGGGAAACUGAGAAUAAUACCCGAUAGAACAUUAUGCCUGGAAUGGUUUAUGUUUCAAAUAAUUUAUUGCCGUAGGAUGGGACUGCGGCCUAUCAGUUUGUUGGUGAGGUAAUGGCCCACCAAGACUAUUACAGGUACGGGCUCUGAGAGGAGUAGCCCGGAGAUGGGUACUGAGACACGGACCCAGGCCCUAUGGGGCGCAGCAGGCGAGAAAACUUUGCAAUGUGCGAAAGCACGACAAGGUUAAUCCGAGUGGUUUCUGCUAAAGGAACCUUUUGUUAGUCAUAGAACCACUAAUGAAUAAGGGGUGGGCAAGUUCUGGUGUCAGCCGCCGCGGUAAAACCAGCACCUCAAGUGGUCAGGAUGAUUAUUGGGCCUAAAGCAUCCGUAGCCUGCUUUGCCAGUUUUCGGUUAAAUCCAUACGCUCAACGUAUGGGCUGCCGGGAAUACUACAAAGCUAGGGAGUGGGAGAGGUAGACGGUACUCGGUAGGAAGGGGUAAAAUCCUUUGAUCUAUUGAUGACCACCUGUGGCGAAGGCGGUCUACCAGAACACGUCCGACGGUGAGGGAUGAAAGCUGGGGGAGCAAACCGGAUUAGAUACCCGGGUAGUCCCAGCUGUAAACUAUGCAAACUAGGUGAUGCAUUGGCUUGAUGCCAAUGCAGUGCCUCAGGGAAGCCGUUAAGUUUGCCGCCUGGGAAGUACGUACGCAAGUAUGAAACUUAAAGGAAUUGGCGGGGGAGCACCACAAGGGGUGAAGCCUGCGGUUCAAUUGGAGUCAACGCCGGG